GAAACCAGGUUGAAAUAGAACAAAAGAAUCGAAGCUCUUUGUUAGAGAAGGCGAUAAAUGCUUACUGUAAUGUUUACUAUAGUGACAAAAAUUUAAAAGUUAAUAGAAACAAACAAAAUUACAAUUUUCUUCUCAAUUACGAAGUGUUUUAUUUUGAAAACACCAUUUGCAUAAGUUUUCAAUUUAUUCAGUACAUAGUUAAGCAGAACAAUUAGAUAUCAAGUCGACGACAUGGGUCUCUUUCAAGUUGGAUGUAGAAAAUGCAUAACCUCCGAUUUUUUUUAAAAAAUUUACCACGGACGGAAAACAUAUCAAUCUAUUAGUUCAGUAAUUUUCGUGUCUGCCCUUC
rnacentral:lncRNA from 1 species